GAUGAACGCUGGCGGCGUGCCUAAUACAUGCAAGUCGAGCGAACAGAUAAGGAGCUUGCUCCUUUGACGUUAGCGGCGGACGGGUGAGUAACACGUAGGUAACCUACCUAUAAGACUGGGAUAACUUCGGGAAACCGGAGCUAAUACCGGAUAACAUUUGGAACCGCAUGGUUCUAAAGUGAAAGAUGGUUUUGCUAUCACUUAUAGAUGGACCCGCGCCGUAUUAGCUAGUUGGUAAGGUAACGGCUUACCAAGGCGACGAUACGUAGCCGACCUGAGAGGGUGAUCGGCCACACUGGAACUGAGACACGGUCCAGACUCCUACGGGAGGCAGCAGUAGGGAAUCUUCCGCAAUGGGCGAAGGCCUGACGGAGCAACGCCGCGUGAGUGAUGAAGGGUUUCGGCUCGUAAAACUCUGUUAUUAGGGAAGAACAAACGUGUAAGUAACUGUGCACGUCUUGACGGUACCUAAUCAGAAAGCCACGGCUAACUACGUG
rnacentral:rRNA from 1 species